CGAGCAGCGAGUUAGCAGCGGCUAGCAGAGGCGGCGCUAGCUAGCAAGAGGCUUCGCGACAAUAACAGCGGCAGGCGGCCAGCGGGAGGGAUGGACGGCGGCUUUCCGGUGAGCGGCUCCGCGCUGGGCUCGGUUGCGGGCUUCACCCCCCCGGUGAGGCGAGGCGAGGCGAGACGAAGCUGGUGGUAACGGUCUAAACUUGCUAGUUGACAGGUUAACCGAGCUGCGCUUUAACUACUGCUAGCAGUGACGUCACAGUCACGUGACACGCGGUUAGGAAACACCCAGAAGGUCACGUGGUGCGCAGCAGCUGCCAGAUCGAACAAGGUGAUUGAGGAAGUCGGCGUGACGUCACAAAUCACGUGACUACAUAGCGAGUAAAGGCGCCAUUUUGAAGUAGGAGAAAGCAAAGCGAAAAGAAGCACACAAGUCUGUUGGACCGCCGGCACGUGAUAAUCUCGAAUCACAGGGAAGCAUCUCCCUCAGCACCAUGCCUAAAAGCUGCUGUGUGGUCGGCUGCACCGAAAACACUGUGAAAAAUUCAGAACUGAAAAUUUUCCUGAUACCAAAAGCAGGGCUGAGAUGAGAAAAGUGGCUGAACGCUAUCAACAGGAGUCAUGUGGAGCUUGAUGGCACUGUCAACCACUCGAAGCUGUGGACCCCUCAAUCCAAAUACGCCUAUGUUUGCAGCAAGCACUUGAUCUCUGGUGAAAAAGUCAACGAUGAAACCCACCCAGAUUACAUUCCCUCCAUCUUCCCCUCGACACCGUCCACAGCCAAGGCCAAAGCUGCAUCCAGGUUGGACCGGUUUGAAAGGAAAUGUCUCAGUGCAGCGCCGAGAAUCCCCUACAGAACGGAGACUCUGAUGCACUUGAGGAUUCUCCCCAGGAAGUGUCAACAGGUUCAGCCGAACCCUGUUUGGGUGCUGAAGAGCCCCGGGAGGACAGCAAAGAUAAUGGUUUCACUCCCACGACCAAACCUCUCUCCAUCUCAGAACGUGAACUGAUGUUGGCUGAAAUUAACAAUUUGUGCAGAGAGAGAGACGAGGCUUUAUCUGAAGAAGCUGCUCUUGAAGCGAUUCUUUUGUGUAAAUCUGUAUCAUCUGGGGCAGUAGAAGGUGAUGACAAGAAAUGCCAAAUGCUCACUGGAUAGGAGUGGGCAGUUUUUCUCAAGCUGUUCACCUUUUUGAGCUCUUUCUGUGAAAAGAAAAACGACACUAAAGAAAGCCUGCCACUGCGAGAUCAGCUGUUCAUCACUCUGGUGAAGCUGAGAUGCAAUAUCUGUUUUGAUUUUCUGGCCUUUGCUGCAGGAAUCCCCAAAACAACCACCAUAGAUUAUUUUUGGGAAUGGAUACAGUUGUUGUAUGAUAAGGUAGGAUUCUUAGUCAGCUGGCCAGAGAGAGGGGACCUCUUUGAGACUAUUCCCCCUGUGUUCCGUCAGAAAUUCCCUCGACUGACUUGUAUUGUUGACUGUUUUGAAAUAUUCAUUGACGCUCCAAAGAACCUGCUGGCAUGAGCUCAGUGCUACAGUAACGACAAGAAACACUGCACAAUUAAAGUGUUUGUAGGGUGUAACCCCCUGGGGAUGGUUACAUUUCUCUCACAGGCAUGGGGCGGACGGGCUUCUGACAGUCAAAUUGUCCGAGAUUCUGGAUUUAUUAGCAGCAGCUACCAUCAUCCAGGUGAUCAGAUUCUUGCUGAUAGAGAGUUGACCCUGUCGGAGGACUUUGCAAGUCAGUGCAGCUGUGAACUGAUCACACCUGCUUUCACCAAAGGCAAGAGACAAUUAUCCGCACAGGAAGUUGAAAACUCUCGCAAAAUAUCUUCAUUUAGAAGACGUAUUGAACGGGUAACUGGAAUCAUAAAAGACAGAUACAGCAUUAUGAAAGGACCUCUGCCUAUUCGAUGUGUUCAGAGUUUGACGGAUGAAAGGUUGGGCACUGCUCUCUCCAGUUGUGACAAAAUUCUUGCUGUUUGUGCGGCCUUAACUAACAUGGGUGAAGGUAUCGUCUAUCAGGAGUAGUGCGCCGGUCACUGUGUUUGUGUAUGUGUGUCAUUUGUGGUUUCUUUUGUCUGGUGCAAUCCUAAUAAAAUAUUUA